rnacentral:pre_miRNA from 1 species
ACACCCUUCUGGGGCAAGACUUGCUUCAGUGGGGCUUUGGUGCUCACUGAGUCUGCCCCCCCUGAGUGUGUCCCU